rnacentral:rRNA from 1 species
UACGUAGGUGGCGAGCGUUGUCCGGAAUUACUGGGUGUAAAGGGUGCGUAGGCGGGUAUGCAAGUCAGUUGUGAAACCCAUGGGCUUAACCUAUGGCAUGCGACUGAAACUGUAUAUCUUGAGUGUCGGAGAGGUAAGUGGAAUUCCUAGUGUAGCGGUGGAAUGCGUAGAUAUUAGGAGGAACACCAGUGGCGAAGGCGACUUACUGGACGAUAACUGACGCUGAGGCACGAAAGCGUGGGGAGCAAACAGGAUUAGAUACCCUGGUAGUCCACGCUGUAAACGAUGGAUACUAGGUGUGGUGGGACUGACCCCUACCGUGCCGGAGUUAACGCAAUAAGUAUCCCACCUGGGGAGUACGGCCGCAAGGCUGAA